rnacentral:rRNA from 1 species
UGGGGAAUCUUGCGCAAUGGCCGAAAGGCUGACGCAGCGACGCCGCGUGUGGGAGGACGCCUUUCGGGGUGUAAACCACUGUUGCCCGGGACGAACAUCCCUUUUCGAGGGGACUGACGGUACCGGGUGAGGAAGCACCGGCUAACUCCGUGCCAGCAGCCGCGGUAAUACGGAGGGUGCGAGCGUUGUCCGGAAUCAUUGGGCGUAAAGGGCGCGUAGGUGGCGGGACAAGCGUGCGGUGAAAGCUCGGGGCUCAACCCCGCGUCGGCCGUGCGAACUGUUUUGCUUGAGCACUGUAGAGGCAGGCGGAAUUCCGGGUGUAGCGGUGGAAUGCGUAGAGAUCCGGAAGAACACCGGUGGCGAAGGCGGCCUGCUGGGCAGUAGCUGACACUGAGGCGCGACAGCGUGGGGAGCAAACA